GAUGAACGCUGGCGGCGUGCCUAAUACAUGCAAGUCGAGCGAAUGGAUUGAGAGCUUGCUCCUAUGAAGUUAGCGGCGGACGGGUGAGUAACACGUGGGUAACCUGCCCAUAAGACUGGGAUAACUCCGGGAAACCGGGGCUAAUACCGGAUAACAUUUUGAACCGCAUGGUUCGAAAUUGAAAGGCGGCUUCGGCUGUCACUUGUGGAUGGACCCGCGUCGCAUUAGCUAGUUGGUGAGGUAACGGCUCACCAAGGCAACGAUGCGUAGCCGACCUGAGAGGGUGAUCGGCCACACUGGGACUGAGACACGGCCCAGACUCCUACGGGAGGCAGCAGUAGGGAAUCUUCCGCAAUGGACGAAAGUCUGACGGAGCAACGCCGCGUGAGUGAUGAAGGCUUUCGGGUCGUAAAACUCUGUUGUUAGGGAAGAACAAGUGCUAGUUGAAUAAGCUGGCACCUUGACGGUACCUAACCAGAAAGCCACGGCUAACUACGUGCCAGCAGCCGCCGUAA
rnacentral:rRNA from 1 species